UAGUCAUAUGCUUGUCUUAAAGACUAAGCCAUGCAUGUCUAAGUAUAAGUAUUAUACAGCGAAACUGCGAAGGGCUCAUUAAAACAGUUAUAGUUUAUUCAAUUAUUUUCUCCUACAUGGAUAACCGUAGUAAUUCUAGAGCUAAUACAUGCUGUCAAACCUGACUUUUGUGGAAGGGUUGUAUUUAUUAAAUAUAAAACCAAUACUCGCAAGAGGAUUGUGAUGAUUCAUAAUAACUGAGCGGAUCGCGGCUUUGCCGCGACAAAUCGUUCAAGUUUCUGCCCUAUCAGCUUUUGAUGGUAGUGUAUUGGACUACCAUGGCGAUCACGGGUAACGGGAAAUUAGGGUUCGAUUCCGGAGAGGGAGCCUGAAAAACGGCUACCACAUCCAAGGAAGGCAGCAGGCGCGCAAAUUACCCAAUCCCGACACGGGGAGGUAGUGACAAUAAAUACUGAUACAGGGCUCUUUUGGGUCUUGUAAUUGGAAUGAGUACAAUUUAAAUCCCUUAACGAGGAUCCAUU
rnacentral:rRNA from 1 species